AGGGAAAGGAGCUGGAAGACCUGGGUUCUAGUCCCAAUUCUGCCACUAACUUGCUAUGUGACCCUGACUGAGUCACAUUUCCCCUCUGGGCCUGUUUC